AGUGAACGCUGGCGGCAUGCCUAACACAUGCAAGUCGAACGGCAGCACAGUAAGAGUUUGCUCUUACGGGUGGCGAGUGGCGGACGGGUGAGGCAUACAUCGGAAUCUACUUUUUCGUGGGGGAUAACGUAGGGAAACUUACGCUAAUACCGCAUACGAUCUACGGGGUAAAGCAGGGGAUCUUCGGACCUUGCGUGAUUGAAUGAGCCGAUGUCGGAUUAGCUAGUUGGCGGGGUAAAGGCCCACCAAGGCGACGAUCCGUAGCUGGUCUGAGAGGAUGAUCAGCCACACUGGAACUGAGACACGGUCCAGACUCCUACGGGAGGCAGCAGUGGGGAAUAUUGGACAAUGGGCGCAAGCCUGAUCCAGCUAUACCGCGUGGGUGAAGAAGGCCUUCGGGUUGUAAAGCCCUUUUGUUGGGAAAGAAAAGCAGCAGGUUAAUACCCCGCUGUUCUGACGGUACCCAAAGAAUAAGCACCGGCUAACUUCGUG
rnacentral:rRNA from 1 species